rnacentral:rRNA from 1 species
GAUGAACGCUGGCGGCGUGCCUAAUACAUGCAAGUCGAGCGAACAGACGAGGAGCUUGCUCCUCUGACGUUAGCGGCGGACGGGUGAGUAACACGUGGAUAACCUACCUAUAAGACUGGGAUAACUUCGGGAAACCGGAGCUAAUACCGGAUAAUAUAUUGAACCGCAUGGUUCAAUAGUGAAAGACGGUUUUGCUGUCACUUAUAGAUGGAUCCGCGCCGCAUUAGCUAGUUGGUAAGGUAACGGCUUACCAAGGCAACGAUGCGUAGCCGACCUGAGAGGGUGAUCGGCCACACUGGAACUGAGACACGGUCCAGACUCCUACGGGAGACAGCAGUAGGGAAUCUUCCGCAAUGGGCGAAAGCCUGACGGAGCAACGCCGCGUGAGUGAUGAAGGUCUUCGGAUCGUAAAACCCUGUUAUUAGGGAAGAACAAAUGUGUAAGUAACUAUGCACGUCUUGACGGUACCUAAUCAGAAAGCCACGGCUAACUACGU